rnacentral:lncRNA from 1 species
GUGACAGAAGAUGUGAUCAGAUGCUGGGCUGAAAGAAGAGCGAGUGACAGCCUAGGCUGCAGCCUUUUCAGACAGGGCUUCCUUCCUGAGCUGAGCCAGGCUCACACCAGAGAGUAUUUGCCCUUACCUUGUGUAUCAAUUUAUAUGCAUUCAAAAAUAAUAUAUUAUAUGGCUAUUCACAAAUGAACAAAGUAUAACAACAAUUGUUCUAAAAUUUUAGAUUUUAUGACCUUCCUGUAUUCUGGUCCUUUGAACAGGCAAUCCUCUGAAAUAAAAUCACAUCGCAGUUCAGACCAGCCACAUUCCAGGCACCCAGGAGCCACACAUGGCCAAUAGCUGCCACAUUGAAGUACAGCUGUGAUGUCAGUGGGGGUGGAGGGCCUGAACACCCCUUUUCUGCCACAGACUAUGGAGGAUUCACCACCAGACCAAGAAGCAACAGGCUGGACUCCAGAGUUGAACACCACACUCAUCAGACUAUGGAGGAUUCACCACCAGACUGGGAAGCAACACCUUGGGCUCAAGAGUUGGUCAUCCAUCCUUGCACAGAUAAGGAGAGGUCUCCUGAAGCUUCGGUGUGGUCUGGGGCCCUAGCUCUUUUUGUAAUGAGUUGUUUGGUAUGAGGCCCAGUCAUGAGGGCCCUUUGCGACUGAGCUCAAGGAACACAAAAAGGUCAACUUGUUUUCUUGUGAUCGUCUAUUGUUUUUCAAUAACUAAUGUGUAGGAAUAGACUGAAAUAGAGAUUUCUCCAAAACAGUGCAGGAUGAACACCUCAAGGGGGCUCACAUAACCUGUUUCAGGACUUGGUGUCUAUUUUUUGUGUCCAUGUUUAAUUGAGUUCAAAUUUAAUAUUUAAUUUUUCCUCCACAAAUUCCUCUGUCUUGAUGAAUCAGCUCUCUCUGGGCAAAGGGCAAGGGGAACCCCUUGGGCUGUCACACAACCUCUGCCUCCUGGGUUCAAGCGAUUCUCCUGCCUCAGCCUCCGGAGCAUCUGGGACUACAGGUGUGCACCACCGUGCCUGGCUAAUUUUUUGCAUUUUUAGUAGAGAUUGGGUUUAACCACGUUGGCUAGACUGGUCUCGAACUUCUGACCUCAAGUGAUCUGCCCACCUUGGCCUCCCAAAGUGCUGGGAUUACAGGUGUGCACCACUGCAUCUGGCCCUAAAUGAUUUCUUUCUAUCUCCUAUAACGGUUUGAAAUUACUUAAUGGUUGUUUCAAAUAGAAAAAAAAUAAAAAGAAUGUAGAGAAAAAGAAAAUAUAAAAAGAUAAAAAAAUUACAAGAGAAUGCAAAAUAUAUAUGUAAAUCUCGAGGUCAAAAAUGACAAAUUUGAUUUAUUUUUAAGGUUUUAUUAAAAUUAGCUUUAGUAUUGAUAAUACGCUAUUACCAAAGUAAAAGUUGAUUUUCUCUUGAACAAAAAUUUUAUGUAUUAUUAAUAUGACAGCAAAGUACUUCUGUUCACCUUUUGAAUAUAUUCAAAAAGACCGAGAGUGAAAAAGAGACAGAAUUUUCUCAUGUUCUGGGGUGGGCCUGGCUCAGCUCAGGGAGGAAGCCCUGCCUGAAAAGGCUGCAGCUUAGGCUGUUGCUCUUUCUUCACUCAGCCCAGCACCUGAUCACAUCUUCUGUCACUCAAGGCCUGAGGGGGCGGGACCUUAAGCAUUAUCCAAUCAGGAACUCUGAGCUGGAAACCGUCCAAUCAGACACCCAGCUGGAGAGAACAGGACAACUUCUGGGUUUGGCGCGGACUUUGUCUCUUGCUGCAGCAGGAGCUCCAGGUCUCGUCUUCAGUCCUCUGUGUCCUCUGCUCCUAGAGGCCCAGCCUCUGUGGCUCUGUGUCCUGCCGGUAUUGGGAGAUCCACAGCUAAGAUGCUGGGACCUUCUGGAAGCCUAGAAAUGGUGAGGGUGCCAAUUGGACAUCCCAAGAGAGGGGAGGGACUGGUUGGAAUCAGUGGGAAGUGGCUGUGGUGGGAUUCAGGCCUCCCCGAAGUCAGCUCCACAAUCUGCGCCCUGAGGUGUCCUUGUCCAGCUCAGCCUCAGUCCCGUUCAGCCGUAAGAUGGCGGCUCCGCUGACAGGCAGGCCCCUGGGCAUCCAGUCUCUUCCCUGUUCAGUGACUGUGCACUGGCCUGGAGCCCUCUCUGGGCAGCUCUGCACCCACAGCACGGCGUCUCUCCCAGAUUGUGCAGGGACCAUGGGAGGGUCAUCAGGGGAGAAUCUUGCGUCAGGGUGCAGGUUCAUGAAUGGGAAGAGCUUUGAUCCAUGGGGUUCACAGCUUCUCUUUUCUCCUAUUAAAAAUUUGUGGGGCCAGGCACAGUGGCUCACUCCUUUAAUCCCAGCAUUUUGGGAGGCCCAGGUGGGUGGAUCACUUGGGGUAAGGGGUUGUUAGGACAACAAAGAUCCUUUUCAAAGACUCAACUUCCUGGUGAUAAGUUGUAAAAGUUGUAAAUCAACCACACCGCUUCUUCUUCCCUCUUCUCCCUUUCUCGCAAAUCGCGCAUUUACCCUAUUUGGAAAAAGUUUGGGUCUAAGUCAACCGGGAUCAGCUUAGAUUGUUUGCUAGUGUUAUAUUUAAAGCUAUUUUAUUAUUCUAGGCCAUCCGGCUGGUACGUCCUAAUUGCUUAGCUAUCCCCUUGAUGGCGUCCCUAGUGCAAUUUGUGAAUUGUUGCUGAUUGUAAUAGAUAUAGUGUAUUUAGUUAACUUUUUUUAUUUAUAGUUACCUACCAGAACAACGUGGAUUUAAAUUUUGUAGCUAUUUGAUUUUGUGCUUUAAACUUAUUUGGCACUUCUCACAGGACCUUAAUAGCAUUUACGUAAACCUGAGGAUUAAAGGAUUUAUAAGGAGUUUCCCUUGGCCUGCACUGUUUUGUUUUUACUUUUUUUAGAUUGAUGAAAUGCCAGGGUGAAUGGGUUAGCCAACUGGAUUAGAGGACAAGUACUGCUCCAAUUAUUUGGCAGCGUCCAGUAAAGGUCCUCCACAGUACAACCAUACAUUUGCUUGGGGAUGGCUACGCAUGGACUGAUGGUCAAGCUCUUGGAAAGGAUUGAGGUCUUUGCAUCCUUUUAUGCUUCCAAGGAACACCACAUUUUCCCCUUGCUGUGAGAGGCACGAAGUAAACUUGGCAUCUAGAGGUGGAAGCUGGAUUGCCCUCAGGGGCUGACUCUCAGGAAAUAGCAGAGAGAGAGCUCAGCAUGAUGGAUUAUCCGAAGCAAUGGGUUUCUGAAAGAGAGGCCCCAUACAGUCCAUAUUUGGUUGACAAGAAGACCAUCUGAGUGGAAAGGGGAUAAUCUGGGCCUCUGGCCUAUGGUGUGAACAAGCAUAAUAAUCACUUUUUUAAAAAGUCUGAACAGAAUAUUUAAUCCAUUCCAACCAGGCAUUUGCAUCUUGAUAUUUUAUCUUGAUGGCUAAGGUCUAUCUUAGAUCUCUUAUUUUUACAAUAGACACCCUAGUUUUAUUAUUAGAUGUAGGAGCAACCGGUGUGGGAUCUAGAACUGAGGCUACUGAAGAAGGGGAAGAUGGGGGAAUGAUGCAUAUUUUAAAAAUACCUAGGGGGUCUUUUCCAUUUAUGUCAAUCCCCAUACCAUAGAAGCGACUAAGGGCAGGUCUAGAGUUAGUUAAGGUGGAGGUAGUGAUAGAGAGAAGGACAGGGUUUCAUUGAUAAGGCUGACAGUUAGAAGGGGUAGUUCUUUUUGUGAAAUAGAUGAGGGGUUUUAGAUAUGCACAAACCUUUUUCAUGGAAGUCCAACUUUGCUCCUGAGUAGUUUAAAGGAAGUAGUCCCAUUUACUACAAGGUUUCCAGGCUGUAGGAGCAGAAAAUUGACGUCUUGGCUACAGGUGAUUACAACGAUGAGUGCCAGGGGUAACUAUGUCAAUUAGAGGACUGGGACAUAAAUAUUUGUGUGAAAAGGCUAGCUGUCAUUGAUUUUUUACAUUUCCAUAAUGUAUGACAGAGCAAGCAUUAAAGGCAAUGGUCUGAGGUGAGUCAGACUUAGUAACAUUAAUAAAAAAGGAGCUAGUAAGGGAAUAAGGAAAGGAAGGGAAGCAAUAUAGAAGGUAUAUGAAAAUUAAGCUUUUUUUAAACUUUAACUUAGCAGGGCUUGAUCCUAGUACGGUAACCCAUGAUUCUGAUGAGGAAUAUGUUUUCUUGACUCGGGUAUGGUGGGUCCAUUGUUUCUCGGCUGUGCAGAUGGCAGUCUCAGUAGUUAACAGCAUAAGAUAGGGUCCUUCCCAGGCUGGCUUGAGUUUUUUCUUUCCUUUCUGGCUUCUGAUGAGGACUUGGUUUUCAGGCUGGUGCUGGUGUACUGGAAAUUCUAGGGGUGGUACCUGUGUUAAAAGACUUUUAGUUUUGAGGGAAGGGAAAGUGGAAGAUAAAUUAAGUAUAUAAUUUCUGCUGCAUAUCCUGGGGCUUGAGGACCCAUGGUGAUGCCUCCCGCUCCAUUCCUGCUUAGCGCUGUCCAGGGGAUGCUGUGGCCCUGCCCCCUCUUAAGGUCUUGGCCUUCUUGUGACCUUCACUGUCCCCGCGUGUUGUGGCCUUGGGGAUGAGGGCCCUUGUGACUUAACCGGCCGCCCUCGGGCCUUAGGAAAGCUAAACAUCAUUUUAUAUUUGACAAUGAUUUUUGUAUGAUUUUAUACCAGAUAAGUUAAAUUUUACCUUUAUAUUAAUGUGCUAUUAAUGUUAAACUUAAUUUAAAUAAAAUCUUGUAGACAUUAUUUAUUCACUUUUAAUGUCUGACUAUAAGGUAAAAUUUUUAUAGACUCUUUUUAACCUUUUAUAAUUUUUGUUAAAGAGCAGGUUAGUGCUUUAAGAAAAAUCUAUUGUGCUUUUAUUUUAAUGUCCAGUUCACAGGAAAACUGGAUGAUACCCCUUUAACUUUAGCCAAUAUGUUUUCACACAGAGUUUCCUUUACAAUUAAUAUUUUAAAACUUGCUUAAACCUCUAAAACAAAAUGUUUUUUAACCUUUUAAUGUAGAUAAAAAUCCAUAUUCGUAUGCCUCCUUAUAAUCCUUUUAUUAAAAGUAUAUUUAUUUUUCUUUAUUUUUUUCUAACUCACUUUUAUUUACUUGUUUUUUAUUAUGCUUUAACUUCUAGGGUAAAUGUGCACAAUGUGCAGGUUAGUUACAUAGGUAUACAUGUGCCGUGUUGGUUUGCUGCACCCAUCAGCUUAUCAUUUACAUUAGGUAUUUCUC